rnacentral:rRNA from 1 species
UGAGCUUGAUCCUGGCUCAGAUUGAACGCUGGCGGCAUGCCUUACACAUGCAAGUCGAACGGCAGCACGGAGCUUGCUCUGGUGGCGAGUGGCGAACGGGUGAGUAAUAUAUCGGAACGUACCCUAGAGUGGGGGAUAACGUAGCGAAAGUUACGCUAAUACCGCAUACGAUCUAAGGAUGAAAGUGGGGGAUCGCAAGACCUCAUGCUCGUGGAGCGGCCGAUAUCUGAUUAGCUAGUUGGUAGGGUAAAAGCCUACCAAGGCAUCGAUCAGUAGCUGGUCUGAGAGGACGACCAGCCACACUGGAACUGAGACACGGUCCAGACUCCUACGGGAGGCAGCAGUGGGGAAUUUUGGACAAUGGGCGAAAGCCUGAUCCAGCAAUGCCGCGUGAGUGAAGAAGGCCUUCGGGUUGUAAAGCUCUUUUGUCAGGGAAGAAACGGUGAGAGCUAAUAUCUCUUGCUAAUGACGUACCCUGAAG